GUGAACCAGUACCGUGAGGGAAAGGCGAAAAGAACCCCGGCGAGGGGAGUGAAAAAGAACCUGAAACCGUGUACGUACAAGCAGUGGGAGCACAGGUUUACCUGUGUGACUGCGUACCUUUUGUAUAAUGGGUCAGCGACUUAUAUUCUGUAGCAAGGUUAACCGCAUAGGGGAGCCGGAGGGAAACCGAGUCUUAAUUGGGCGUUAAGUUGCAGGGUAUAGACCCGAAACCCGGUGAUCUAGCCAUGGGCAGGUUGAAGGUUGGGUAACACUAACUGGAGGACCGAACCGACUAAUGUUGAAAAAUUAGCGGAUGACCUGUGGCUGGGGGUGAAAGGCCAAUCAAACCGGGAGAUAGCUGGUUCUCCCCGAAAGCUAUUUAGGUAGCGCCUCGUGAAUUCAUCUCCGGGGGUAGAGCACUGUUUCGGCUAGGGGGCCAUCCCGGCUUACCAACCCGAUGCAAACUGCGAAUACCGGAGAAUGUUAUCACGGGAGACACACGGCGGGUGCUAACGUCCGUCGUGAAGAGGGAAACAACCCAGACCGCCAGCUAAGGUCCCAAAGUCAUGGUUAAGUGGGAAACGAUGUGGGAAGGCCCAGACAGCCAGGAUGUUGGCUUAGAAGCAGCCAUCAUUUAAAGAAAGCGUAAUAGCUCACUGGUCGAGUCGGCCUGCGCGGAAGAUGUAACGGGGCUAAACCAUGCACCGAAGCUGCGGCAGCGACGCUGAUGCGUUGUUGGGUAGGGGAGCGUUCUGUAAGCCUGUGAAGGUGGCCUGUGAGGGUUGCUGGAGGUAUCAGAAGUGCGAAUGCUGACAUAAGUAACGAUAAAGCGGGUGAAAAGCCCGCUCGCCGGAAGACCAAGGGUUCCUGUCCAACGUUAAUCGGGGCAGGGUGAGUCGACCCCUAAGGCGAGGCCGAAAGGCGUAGUCGAUGGGAAACGGGUUAAUAUUCCCGUACUUGGUGUUACUGCGAAGGGGGGACGGAGAAGGCUAUGUUGGCCGGGCGACGGUUGUCCCGGUUUAAGCGUGUAGGUGUGUGUUCCAGGUAAAUCCGGUUCACUUUAACACUGAGGCGUGAUGACGAGGCACUACGGUGCUGAAGCAACAAAUGCCCUGCUUCCAGGAAAAGCCUCUAAGCAUCAGGUAACAUCAAAUCGUACCCCAAACCGACACAGGUGGUCAGGUAGAGAAUACCAAGGCGCUUGAGAGAACUCGGGUGAAGGAACUAGGCAAAAUGGUGCCGUAACUUCGGGAGAAGGCACGCUGACACGUAGGUGAAGUGAUUUACUCACGGAGCUGAAGUCAGUCGAAGAUACCAGCUGGCUGCAACUGUUUAUUAAAAACACAGCACUGUGCAAACACGAAAGUGGACGUAUACGGUGUGACGCCUGCCCGGUGCCGGAAGGUUAAUUGAUGGGGUCAGCGCAAGCGAAGCUCCUGAUCGAAGCCCCGGUAAACGGCGGCCGUAACUAUAACGGUCCUAAGGUAGCGAAAUUCCUUGUCGGGUAAGUUCCGACCUGCACGAAUGGCGUAAUGAUGGCCAGGCUGUCUCCACCCGAGACUCAGUGAAAUUGAACUCGCUGUGAAGAUGCAGUGUACCCGCGGCAAGACGGAAAGACCCCGUGAACCUUUACUAUAGCUUGACACUGAACAUUGAGCCUUGAUGUGUAGGAUAGGUGGGAGGCUUUGAAGUGUGGACGCCAGUCUGCAUGGAGCCGACCUUGAAAUACCACCCUUUAAUGUUUGAUGUUCUAACGUGGACCCGUGAUCCGGGUUGCGGACAGUGUCUGGUGGGUAGUUUGACUGGGGCGGUCUCCUCCUAAAGAGUAACGGAGGAGCACGAAGGUUGGCUAAUCCUGGUCGGACAUCAGGAGGUUAGUGCAAUGGCAUAAGCCAGCUUGACUGCGAGCGUGACGGCGCGAGCAGGUGCGAAAGCAGGUCAUAGUGAUCCGGUGGUUCUGAAUGGAAGGGCCAUCGCUCAACGGAUAAAAGGUACUCCGGGGAUAACAGGCUGAUACCGCCCAAGAGUUCAUAUCGACGGCGGUGUUUGGCACCUCGAUGUCGGCUCAUCACAUCCUGGGGCUGAAGUAGGUCCCAAGGGUAUGGCUGUUCGCCAUUUAAAGUGGUACGCGAGCUGGGUUUAGAACGUCGUGAGACAGUUCGGUCCCUAUCUGCCGUGGGCGCUGGAGAACUGAGGGGGGCUGCUCCUAGUACGAGAGGACCGGAGUGGACGCAUCACUGGUGUUCGGGUUGUCAUGCCAAUGGCACUGCCCGGUAGCUAAAUGCGGAAGAGAUAAGUGCUGAAAGCAUCUAAGCACGAAACUUGCCCCGAGAUGAGUUCUCCCUGAGACUUUAAGUCUCCUGAAGGAACGUUGAAGACGACGACGUUGAUAGGCCGGGUGUGUAAGCGCAGCGAUGCGUUGAGCUAACCGGUACUAAUGAACCGUGAGGCUUAACCUU
rnacentral:rRNA from 1 species